rnacentral:rRNA from 1 species
AUUGAACGCUGGCGGCAUGCUUUACACAUGCAAGUCGAACGGUAACAGGGAGCUUGCUCCGCUGACGAGUGGCGAACGGGUGAGUAAUGCGUCGGAACGUGCCGAGCAGUGGGGGAUAACGCAGCGAAAGUUGUGCUAAUACCGCAUACGUACUGAGGUAGAGAGUGGGGGACCUUCGGGCCUCACGCUAUUCGAGCGGCCGACGUCUGAUUAGCUAGUAGGUGAGGUAAAGGCUCACCUAGGCGACGAUCAGUAGCGGGUCUGAGAGGAUGAUCCGCCACACUGGGACUGAGACACGGCCCAGACUCCUACGGGAGGCAGCAGUGGGGAAUUUUGGACAAUGGGCGAAAGCCUGAUCCAGCCAUGCCGCGUGUCUGAAGAAGGCCUUCGGGUUGUAAAGGACUUUUGUCGGGGAGGAAAUCCCCAGCGUUAAUACCGCUGGGGGAUGACAGUACCUGAAGAAUAAGCACCGGCUAACUACGUGCCAGCAGCCGCGGUAA